CCCCAGAAUUCUGGCUUAGUCUGGUUGAUUGUCUCUCGGUUUUAUAGACGCUGCUUCAGUUGUGCAUUUCUCUUUCCGUUUGUGACAUUUACAGGAAGAAGGAUUACUCAGUUCUGAAAUUAAUGUCAUGAGAAACCAAAUUGACUAGCAGGCACGAUAGCAAUCUGAGCCUCCAAAUGGGAUCCUUCCUGAGAGCAGUUUGGCCUCACUGCAGGUCUGGUUUGAGAGCAGAACUGAGACCAUGCAGGAUGCAAAGCCAAGCUUCAAAUGAGGACCUGGGACACGGCAGACAUGGAAGGAGGCAGACAUUGCAACAACAAGUGCAACACUGCUCACACCUCUUACCCUCUGUCCAAUGAAAUGAAGACAAGCAUGGAAUGCUCCAUCUGUGCCCUACAGAAGAAUAUCAUCCAUUAUCUGCAACAGUGCUCUGGUUUUUUUCUUUUAAUCACAAAAGAAAUGGGUUUAAAUAUUUUACAAGAUUGACAUAAUAAAUAAUUGAAUCAUAGCUAAGAACAACUGUAACAUGUAUUUUAACUCUUGAUGUCUGGUUUCUGUGAUUUUUUUCCCCGUAGCAUCUUGGAAAAUAUUAUAUUUGUACUAAUAAAUACAGUUUGCAGUUUGUAGGCAAAGAUA